rnacentral:tRNA from 1 species
GCCUGGGUGGCUCAGUCAGUAGAGCGACCAGCCUCGGCUCAGGUCAUAAUCUCAUGGUUCGUAGGUUCGAGCCCUGCAUCAGGCA